rnacentral:rRNA from 1 species
UAGGGAAUCUUCGGCAAUGGGGGCAACCCUGACCGAGCAACGCCGCGUGAGUGAAGAAGGUUUUCGGAUCGUAAAGCUCUGUUGUAAGAGAAGAACGUGUGUGAGAGUGGAAAGUUCACACAGUGACGGUAACUUACCAGAAAGGGACGGCUAACUACGUGCCAGCAGCCGCGGUAAUACGUAGGUCCCGAGCGUUGUCCGGAUUUAUUGGGCGUAAAGCGAGCGCAGGCGGUUUAAUAAGUCUGAAGUUAAAGGCAGUGGCUUAACCAUUGUUCGCUUUGGAAACUGUUAAACUUGAGUGCACAAGGGGAGAGUGGAAUUCCAUGUGUAGCGGUGAAAUGCGUAGAUAUAUGGAGGAACACCGGUGGCGAAAGCGGCUCUCUGGUCUGUAACUGACGCUGAGGCUCGAAAGCGUGGGGAGCAAACAGG